AAAGGGAGACCUAAUUCAGGUAGGAGACGAAAAAAAAGUAGUCGCUACCAAGAAUCAAUCCCAAAAGGUCGGAGCGAGGCGAAAUUGGCUUUCAAACUAGGUUCUGGGUUCACACAAGACCUGAAUCAGGAACAAGGGCUAUUAGCUCAGGUGGUUAGAGCGCACCCCUGAUAAGGGUGAGGUCCCUGGUUCGAGUCCAGGAUGGCCCACCUGCACAGGUGGCAAAAACAAGAGAAGCGAGGAAUCAGCACCUUAUCUUACUUAUAUAGUAAGAGAGAAUGCUGGCUCUGAGUAAAGAGUCCAGAGGAACCUUGAAAACUGCAUAGAGCUAGGUGAAAAAGCCAAAAAAGAAGACCGCAAG
rnacentral:tRNA from 1 species